AAAUCAUUGGCCAAGUGUGAAACACUGGUAAUCAGGCAGCGUGUUAACUAGAGUACACAAAAGAAUUUCAUUCUGUAGUUUGUCCACAGAAUUGUGUUAAUUAAUGACAACAGGUGGCCACAGCUGUCAGUUAAUUUAAACCAGCCACAGAUGUCAGAGCUCCGUGUUAACAUGCCUCACAGACACAAUGGGAGUGUUUUGUUUUUGCAGGGUGUCUCUGAUGUGCAAAACAUUACAAAUGAAUUCAACUAAGGAGGAAUUCUGACCUCUGCCACAGCCGGUGUCACCUCCAAGUUCACAGCGAUCACUGAGCGGCUCUGGCAGACAGACAACAAUGUCCUGCCACGGGGGUCAUCCCUCCCUCCUUCAGUAAAACAAUGAUCUCACUCCCCGUACCAGGAAUCCGCUGAUUGUUUGAAAUACCUUCCACUGUGCUUGACUGAGCACAACUUCUUUUUCCCAUCGACCCGGAGGACGGAGAGAGAGGUGUCGGAAAACAAAAUGACCUUGGCGGGACACUUAAAGUCCUCUAGCAAGAUGGGAACUGCCUUCAUUUGGCCCCUCACAACCAACUAGCCAAGUCAGUGAGAAUCACUGUAGAACACAGAGUGACUUAUGAUGCUCAGAUAUGCAAAAAUCCAUCUUCCUGACCAAUUUCAAGGCCAAUAUCAACACCUGAGACAAAAACAUUAAAAUAAAAACACCAUAUCACCUUA